AUAAUAAACUUUGUAAAAUAUAAUACUUGAAGUAUUAGACAUUAAUUUAAAUCCUACAUUUAUGACAAACACAGAAGUGAGGUUUAGAACUCUUAAUUCUCUCUAAGUAGAUUAGUUUGAAAAGAAACCACAUUUCUCCUGCUGUUGUUGUUGAUCCUUCUCUUGCUACUAACUGCCUGGGUGGUCCCAGCUGAGCUCCUGCUGCUGAUUGUUUUGUCUUUUAGAACACACAAGCUGGGAGUCCUUGGAGCUGUUCUCCAGGAAACUGGAUAAGUAUAAAUCCCUCUUUCUCUUACAUUGCCAACACCUGAGUGCUUGUUCCCUGCUUGCCUUAGAACCCCAAGUGUGUUUUCCUUAGGCAAUAAUUAGCCUCCUAAAGGGCUUUUACCUGAGGAACUCCCUGUUCACAUAGCAGGGGAAGCAAGUGACUCCCUGGCAUUUUUUCCUAUGGGGGAGGGGAAGGAAGAAGGUUACUCUUCCAAAACUACAAAGAGGAAGUAGAAUUGCAAGCAUGGCCCACUCUAUGAAAGAACAGUGCAUUACCUGUCUCAAACAGCUCCCAGUUUUAGGGUAUCUUCUCUUACCUUGUGAUUAACUUGAAUAAAACUGUGAUUCAGGGGCCAUUCUGGCCUAUCCACUCUCUACAACACAUCCAAUAUGGGAUUCCUCCACACUAUGCUCAGUGUAGAAUUCUCCCUCACUCUGGGAGAUCCCAGAGGUGUGACCAAAGGAAUCUAGAUGCAUGAUGAUACUGGGGAGGGGAAGGAACUUUAAAGAGCCUGGAGGUGAAAUUUUUAAGCCUUUUUAGAUUCCAUUGUUUUAUGGAAGUCUCUGUAUCGGAAUUGGCAAAAAGGACUCAAAUUCAGUGCCUAUAUCCUGUCACAUAUAUUGUAUUUACUGAUUGCUUGUUUUAAUAUUUUAUUUUCUUAAUUUCUGUUACACUAUGUCACUUUAAGUUACUGUGUUUUGACAAUUAGCUAUAUAUACUGUUACAUUGUCUUUAUUUGUACCUCCACAUAUGAUUAGACUGGAGAAAACACCUUUGUAAAAGUACCUUACCUUUGAGUUUUUUAUAAAAAGAGGUAAGGGUCCAUUUAGUAGCUGAAGUGAAGAGCUAUAGCACUAUUAUAAUCCCCACCUCCACAUUUAUAAAAAUGUAGUGGAUGAGACAUAUAAAGACAUGCCAUAUAUGGCUGUUACAGUCUCAUCCAGGAAAUGGGAAGGUUUUCCUAGGGGACGUGGCAUCUCUAGAUGUCUCUUGAGAAGGUAGCAAAACUUUAAAAAUAAUACACUCAAUGAAUUGAUUAUGUAUACAAACUAAUUAUAUACUCUGCUUGCUGUGCUUACAAAGUAUCUACUUUAUAUACGUGAAGUGAAGUGAAGCUUAUAAGUGAACUGCUCUUCAAGGCCAGGUGCAAGUAAGCUAAGGUGACUCUUAUACAAAAAUAAACUAUUUAUUGAGAACAUAAGGAUAUAAAAGGAUUUCUAACUCUAAGGGAUUCUAACUCUACCCAAAUAAAAUCCCCUGGUUCCUCAAGGAACCACUUCUCCUAUUUUCCACAGGCUGAUCUUUCCUGAUCUGACUAACCCAAGGAUAAAUCAUUUCAUAAAUACACUAACAAAAACAGAUUUCCUAUGAAUACAAACUAUAUUUUAUAAAUCUUCUCCUUAGAGAUGAGCCUAAAUCUUGAGUGUGUCCCUUGGUAAAUUGACUCUUUUAUAAUUCAUGCAUUUUAUAGUUAUUUUGAAUGGGAUUAUUUUUCUAUUGCUUUAUCUCCAUUUCAUCUUUUGUUUGACUAAUACAAUGAUGAAUUCUGAUGAUUCUGGAAAUACCUGACUACUUUACUAAAGCUAUUAAUCAUCUUUGUUGAUUCUCCUGAGUUAUGAAGGUGAGUCACAAUAUCAUCUUCCAAUAGAGAACCAUUUUUUCUCUUUGUCUAUAUUUAUGCCUUUAAUUUUCUUACUUGCCAUCACUGACAUUUCCAGAAUUGCUUUCAAAUAAUGAUAGGGAAAGAGGCAUCUUUCAUUUAUGUCUGCAUUUAUUAGAAAAUGUUCUAGUGACUUUUUCAUUGUAGAUAUUGUUAUAUUUGAUAUUAGUACUUUGUCAUGCUAAAAAUAAUUCUUUCAUAACCAUGUUUUUUUUUAAAGUAGGUACAAGCAGGUAACUUUUCUGUAAUCAAAACCUAACCAAAUAAUCUUCUUCAUAUAACUUCACCAAAAGGAUCAGAUUGUUUCAAUUAAGAAGAGAGUUCAAACAACUAGAGAUUCUAGAAAAAGCAUCCACAAGCAGUGGGAGUGGUGGUCCUUGAGUUGAGCCUUGAAAAAAAGCUAAGGAUUUCAAGAGGUGAAGAUUAGGUGGUCAUGUAUUCCAGGUACAUGCAAAGACAAAAACAAAGAUGUCUUUUGAGAGGAGAAUUAUGCAGUUUGACUAUUUUAACAUUCAAUACUCAUUCCAGCAGAUAAUCAAUAUAAAUCAACCUUAAUUUCUUUUACAUCCUACUGCAGGAGGAAAGAAACCUCCCUUCACUAAACUCCUAUAGGAUUAAACAAGGUCUCCACAUUAAAAUCAAGGUAUAUUUCAUUCUUUAGGAUUUUUCCUGCUUGAUUCCUAGUCUAGGCCAUAGAACAGAAUUCUAUCUAUUAAAAGAGAAGAACUAAUUUCUGGAAAGAAAAUAAUGGGAACCUUGGAAGUCACCACUUCAUCUUAGAGUCUGCGAUAGAGGAGAAGAAGUAUGGUCAAAAUUUAUCAUCUAGCCAAUAUUUUGAGAAAGAUGAUUUCCAAGGAAUCAGAGGAAAGAUAGAUGGGAUUCGAUGGAUUACAAAAUUCUUCAGGUGAUAUCAGUCCCAAAGAGAUGGAAAAUAUUCAAAUGAAGUUCUGAAGAUUCAAAGGGAAAAAAAAUCCUUUGAAAAACUAUGGGAUAUAUAUGAAGAGGCCAAUAUAGAUACAUGGGAAAUUCAUCAACAAACAUAAUUCUAAAAGAAGUGUAUAAAACAGAAGCAAGACCAGGCAGUAUAAGAGUGUCAACAUCCUAUAAAAAUGUUUGUAAGACUAAAGUUCAGAAUUAAGUGAGGUUAGGAAAGGAAGUUAGGGACCACAAAAAUGGCAUAAUUUGUUUUUGUUCUUUUCUUUUUCUUUGCUCUAUUGAGAGAAAAAGGAUGAUCAACAAGAUAGAACUUAUUUGCUACCAUGAAAACUGACACCAUAGAGAAGGCCUUCCUUUUUGUUUGUUUUCCCUGCCAAGGGGAAUAACCUUUACAUUUGAAAUGACAAAAAGAAAAUGAAUAGUAAGGAGUUUUUGUUCAAAGAAAUAGUGAGAGAUUAACUAGCUGCCCUUAAAUGAUUUAAGUUGCCUGCCCCCAUGAACUACAUGGAUGAAUCCUAAGAAAGCAUGCCUACAUGAUUACUGAGCCAUUGUCCAUAUCUGAAAAAUCAUGAAAAACAGAAAGGGCAUUGUAAGAUUGAAGGGCAAAUGUCACAAUCUUCACAAAAUGGAAGAGAACAGAAUCUGUGAAGUAAAACACAAGCCAUGAGCUUUACUUUGAUUUCUGGGAAACUUAUAAAACAAAUAAUUGAAGAGAUAAUUGCCAAAUACAGUACCUAGAAAGGGAAUCAGUGAUUAAAAAUAAUCAGGAUGACUUCUUCAAGAAUGGGUCAUGCCAGUAAAUUCAUUUCAAUUUUCAACAAGAUUGCUAAAUUAGUAGAGGAUAGGAAUGUUAUAUAGUUUAUCUAGAUUUUAGCAAAUCGUUUGAUAAAGUAUAGCAAACUGUUCUUGUGGAGAAGAUAGAAUGGAAAAUAUUAGAGGAUAAUGCAAAAACAGAUGGAUUUAGACCUAAUUGGAUAGCCAGAUUCAAAGAGAAGUUGUUAAUGGUUCAACGUGGCAGGAGAUCUCCAGUUGAAAGCCUCAAAUAUCCGUGCUUCUCCCUGUCUUGUUUAACAUUUUUAUCAAUGACUUGGAUAAGACAUAACAUGCUUAUCAGAUUUACAGGUGACAAAAAGGGGGGCAUGAUACCUACCAUAAUAGAUAACAAUAAACAAAAAAAAAUUUGCCAGGUUAAAUCAAGAGUAAGUAAACUAUGACAGAAGGCCAAAUUUGGCCAGCUGCUUAUUUUUAUCCAAUCCAGAGCUGAAUGCUUUUAAAAAUAUUUAAAAAUAAAUAUUUGUUGUAAUUUUAAAUAUAAAGGUCAUUCUUAGUUCAUAGGCCUAUGUAAAAAUAAACAAAGCAGAUUUGACCCUUGAGCUGUAAAUCCUUGGAUUAAAUGAUUAGUGUGGUCCCUUCUAAUUCUCAAAUUCUAUGAUUCUGAGUUAGGGCAAUUAAAAUAAAUAUGCUCCAUAUAAUAUAAUUAAAAAGUAAACUAUAUUUUUAUCUUAUAGGAGUUCAAGUUUAACAUGAUUAAUAUAUAUUAUUUUCCUUAGAAAUUUAAAAACCAUCCCCUUUCUCUUUGAAAGAAAAAUUUCUAAUGAUAAUUUGAAAAUGAGGAUAAAAGUCAAAGAUCCCAAAUUUAGACAAAAUUAUAUUCCUCCUUUUUCAUUUCCCUACUCUUUCCUUUUUUCUUUUUAAACUCAUGACCGAAAUAUGUUAACUUGGACACUAGCAGAACUAGACCAAGAUAGAUUGGUUUUCCAGCCUGAUAUGAAAAAAUUUCUUUGUGUGAAUUGUGUUGUAUGAGUUAUGAUAUUUCUCAUAAAAUUGGUUUUUUUUCUUGGUUUAAAUUCCAGAAUUCCUGGUUUCCAUUUCUUGGGUUUUCCUGAAGAUGGAUAAGAUGAUGUAGGAACCAGAUUGCUCUGGUCAAUAGAAUAAGACCAUGGACUGUUCUAAUACUGAACUAGAGGGAUCCAGCUCUGUGAUCAAUAUAUUUACCUCUCUACAAAAGACAAAAUAAAGGCCUGAGCUUGUAAUCUGUCUGGUUUCCUGAGAAUGUAUGAGUUGCAAAAUCAAACCCAUCAAACAAACUUGUUGAAACUAGCAUCUGCUAGCUCUUCCAUCUUGUUCUAAAUUAAAGUCACUAACCCAGAAGAAGAGGCCUUUUAAGACCUGAGAUAAUCACAGAAGGUGAAGGAGAUUGGAGGUUGGACUUUGUGAGUUUUGAAAGGUCAAAGAGCAAACCUCUCAGAAAUCUGAGAGUGAAGUUUAUGCAGGUGUUUGUGCCCAGCUGACCUAAAAGUGAUAUUCCAAGGAACUAGGAAACAUCUUGGAAAAUUACUAAAUGCAAUACAAAUUGCAGAAAUCUUUGACUCUGAGCUAAUGAUUUCAUGAAUCACUAUAGUAAAGGAAUUAAUUCUCAGAUUACCAGAUGGCACAAAGCUAAAAGAGAUAGUUAACACAUUGGAUGACUCAGGAUCCAAAAACAUACUGAUAUUGUGAAACAUUGAGUAGACUCUUAAGAAAAUAAAAUUUUAAAAGGUAUUAUAUUUCUGUUUUUUAAAAAUCCCCUUUACAAGUACAUGUUUGCAGAGAUAAGGCUAUGAAACAAUUGAUCUGAAAAAAAUCUAAAUUUCUUCAUGGAUGUGAAAUUCAGUAUAUUAAUAGUAUGAUAUAAUAGCUUUAAAAACAUGAUAUGGGGGGAAGUGGGUGGCUCAAUGGAUUGAGAGUCAGACCUAAAGAUGGAGGUCCUAAGUUCAAAACUGGCCUCAGAUACUUUCCAGCUGUGUGACCCUGGGCAAGUCACUUGACCCCCAUUGCCCAGCCUUUACCACUCUUCUGCCUUGGAGCCAAUACACAGUAGUGACUCCAAGACGGAAGGUAAGGGUUUAAAAAAAAAAACAUGAUAUGAUAUUAUAUUUCAUUUAUAGAUAGUUUCCAGAAUCAGAGAGGUAAUUGCCUCCAUAGUUUUACUGUAUUCUGCCCUGGUCAGGUCAUAAAGGCAGUUUCGAGUUCAGUUUGGGGUUCCAUAUUGUAGAAAAUAGAAUCUGAAACUAGGAGAUCAUGUGUUUCUAAGAUAAAUAGGAGAACAUCCGAAGACAGUGACCAAAAAAGUUAAGAACCUGAAGUUUAUACAUUAUGAAGAUUAAAGAAAAUAUGGAGGGUUAGCUGAGAAAAAAAAAUGAUUUACAUGGAAUUUCCAGCUGGUUUCAUGUAUUUGAAAUGUUUUCAUGAAGAAAAGAGAUUUUAUUAUACAUGAAAAAACACCUAGGAGCAAUGACAUCAUUAUGAGGCAAAGGGGAGGAUGCACAAGGGUGUUUCAUGAUUUUACAAAAAUGCCAAAAUUUAAACUUGGGGACUAUAGUAUCAGCUACACUCCAGCACUCAUAGACUCCUCUUCUUAUAAACUCUUUCCAGCUUUUAUGCUAUUAUCAAGUGCUAGAAACAUAAAACCAAAGGAGAAAAAAAAAUUGUGCACCGAAUACUUUUUUAAAAAUUCUUAAUUUCUAUCUUAGUAAAAACUCUAUAAUAUAAGGCCAAGGGCUAGGCAAAUGGGGUUAAGUGACUUGCCUAGGAUCACUCAUCCAUUUAAGAAGUAUCUGAGGUCAGAUUUGCACCUAGAUCCUCCCAAAUCUAGGCUUGGUUCUCUAGUUUACCACCUAGUUAUCUCUGCACUGAAUGCUUCUUGCUCUGAUACCAUAUCACUGGUUCACUCUAACCUCCAAGUCUCCUUGAUAUUUAACCUUUUCUUGGCUACCUUACUUUUAACUGUUCCCUGACAAGAAUGUCUGAUUUCAUCUUGCCCUCUCUUAUCUCAUCUUCAUGCAGGAUCCAAAUCAAAGUUUCAGUUCACAAUCUGAAUUUUCUGCAGUUAGUCAGAAGGGGCCACACUUCAAACCCUAAGUAUCUUUUUCAGCAGGGAAAAUAUAGAAACCUGAUCACUUUCUCCUCCUCCAUUUCUGCCUCCUGACCUUGCAAGACCUGGGUGGAAAAUUCCUUCAAGGCUUGCCCAACACCCAUUUUACUAAUAUUUAAAUCCUGGGGGCCAGCAGGGGGCUAGGAAAGGGAGUAUGGAGAGCAAUUCCUUUUCUCUGCUGCUUCUAAAGAACCACUUCAUAAUGUGAAAUUAGCUCAUUAAUAAUGAGGACAGAAUCUAAUUAUGCGAAUGGAUCAAAGUUAUAAACAAUGAGAUAAUGUGCUAUUUUUAAGUGACCUGAAAAGGUCAGUUUCUCUCCAAUAUGGUGUAGAAUCUUAGGAGUGUUACUUAUAAUUUGUUAUGUUGAAAUUGUCCAUUUGCAAAUACUGGCAAACAAAGAGUUAACAGUUCCACAUGAUACUUAGAUUUAAUCCCAGAUUCCCUUAUUGAAUCAAAUCUUAUGUAGGCUAUUUAGGUCAGAUGCUAUGGAAAUGCCCUCUCUGUCAUUUUCUCAUAAAUGUUGCAUAUAUUCCUCAUUAGAAAAAAUGUUAUUUUUAGAGUUCAUUAAACAGGUUAAGCUCCUUAAUGCUACUAAGAGGAGAGAUGUCUUUUUAACAGUAGAACAGAAGUUAAAGCUAAUCUUUAUAGCAUUGUCAAUGUUUCAAAAUGAAGGUCUUUUUACUGUUUACUUUAGAUUAUACAGUGCAAAGUGUAAGCAAUAGUUUAGUAAAUGAUUUGAAACUAUAUCUCAGUAAUCAGAUCUGAAAAAAAUAACUUAAUUGUUCUCUUGUCUCAGACUAUCAACUUUGUCAAGAAAAUAAGUCAUUAACCAUAGCAACUUGUCCUUUUGCUCAGGGAAAGAACUAUUCUAAUUUAAUCACAAGAAGUCUGCCUUGACCUCCCCAUCCCUGUCCCAACUAUAAGGUCACCCUUACUUUAUAAAUUCAUUUUGCAUACUCUAAAUGUCUAAAUUACUCCCUAAUAAUCAAUCAAGUUUUUCAGAAAGAAGUCUUUAGCAAACCUGGUAAACAGUUCUUAUGCUAUGAUUAUUUAAAGAGAUACAGUAAUUUAAUAUGCAACAUGAUUUUGAUUUCAGUGUAUAUCCUAGGAGCAACGUUGGGUGUAGGGAAGAAUAUGUAUUAAUAAGCCUAUAUUUCUCAUUUUUCUGAUAUGCAAAAUAAAUAACACUUAAAUAUUAAAAGAGCUUAUAAUAUAGAUUAUUUGAAAAAUAGUAACCUUGUUAACAUUCUCUUUAUAAUAUUAGAAAGAAUUGGGAGAAAUAAAGACGUUUGGAAUUUUAAGUGCAAAAUUACCUAGCAACUUAGACAAAGAUGAACCCCAGAAUUGGACUUUUGUGUGUUCUCUGCAUGGAUUUAAAAUGUGAAUUUUAAAGCCUUGUAAAUACAGUUAUUGGGGAAAAAAUACUGAAGAAAGUAAUGCAUUAAAAAGACAGAACUGGUCUAAUGAUAAAAGAGGCAGAAAGAUCUAUUGAAGAAAAGAAUUUUCUAAAAAACAGAAUGGGCCACAUGGAAAAAAUGUACAAAAAUUCACUGAAAAAAGGUAUUCUCCAAAAGUAGAAUUGACCUGGAAAAGAAGGAUGAAAGCUAACUGAAAAAACAAUUCCUUAAAAAUUAGAAUGGACAAGUGAAAGCUAAUGUCUCCAUGAAACAUCAA